rnacentral:rRNA from 1 species
CAAGGUCGAGGGGCAGCAUGGGAGUUGCUUGCAACUCCGAUGGCGACCGGCGCACGGGUGAGUAACGCGUAUCCAACCUGGCCCUUAGUAGGGAACAGCCCGGCGAAAGUCGGAUUAAUGCCCUAUGUUUUCCAAUGAUGGCAUCUGACUUGGAACAAAGAUUCAUCGCUAAGGGAUGGGGAUGCGUCUGAUUAGCUUGUCGGCGGGGUAACGGCCCACCGAGGCGACGAUCAGUAGGGGUUCUGAGAGGAAGGUCCCCCACAUUGGUACUGAGACACGGACCAAACUCCUACGGGAGGCAGCAGUGAGGAAUAUUGGUCAAUGGGCGUAAGCCUGAACCAGCCAAGUAGCGUGCAAGGAAGACUGCCCUAUGGGUUGUAAACUGCUUUUAUGCGGGAAUAAAGUCAGGUACGCGUACCUGUUUGUAUGUACCGCAUGAAUAAGGACCGGCUAAUUCCGUGCCAGCAGCCGC